CCUUGAUGACGACUGGCGCACGGGUGAGUAACGCGUAUCCAACCUUCCCAUAACUACGGGAUAACCCGUUGAAAGAUGGCCUAAUACCGUAUGAUAUCGUUUGCUGACAUCAAAUAACGAUUAAAGGUUUAGCGGUUAUGGAUGGGGAUGCGUCUGAUUAGCUUGUUGGCGGGGUAACGGCCCACCAAGGCGACGAUCAGUAGGGGUUCUGAGAGGAAGGUCCCCCACAUUGGAACUGAGACACGGUCCAAACUCCUACGGGAGGCAGCAGUC
rnacentral:rRNA from 1 species